rnacentral:misc_RNA from 1 species
GAAAUGCGAUAAGUAAUGUGAAUUGCAGAAUUCAGUGAAUCAUCGAAUCUUUGAACGCAUCUUGCGCUCCUUGGUAUUCUGAGGAGCAUACCUGUUUGAGUAUCAUUUAAAUUAUCAACUGUGCCAAUUCUGGUCACAGAUUGGAUGUGGGGGUUUCUGCAGGUCUUGAAAAAAAGGCCAGCUCUCCUGAAAUGUAUUAGCAGUGCCUUUGUUGGUGCCUUGGGUGUGAUAAACUAUCUAUGCCCUUAUAUAUGGUACCCUCAUUUUUUUUGAGGCCAUACUGCUUCUAAAUCGUCUUUUGGACAAUGUCUCAUGACAAACUUGAUCUCAAAUCAGGCAGGACUACCCGCUGAACUUAA